rnacentral:rRNA from 1 species
UACGUAGGAGGCAAGCGUUGUCCGGAAUUACUGGGCGUAAAGCGCGUGUAGGUGGUGGGACAAGUCUGCUGUGAAAGCGCCUGGCUUAACCGGGCGAGGUCGGCGGAAACUGUCCGACUCGAGGACGGUAGAGGGGGUGGAAUUCCCGGUGUAGUGGUGAAAUGCGUAGAGAUCGGGAGGAACACCUGUGGCGAAGGCGGCCCCCUGGCCGGCCCUGACACUGAGACGCGAAGGCGUGGGGAGCGAACGGG